AACGAACGCUGGCGGCAUGCCUAACACAUGCAAGUCGAACGAGACCUUCGGGUCUAGUGGCGCACGGGUGCGUAACGCGUGGGAACCUGCCCUUAGGUUCGGAAUAACUCCCCGAAGGGGUGCUAAUACCGGAUAAUGUCUUCGGACCAAAGAUUUAUCGCCUUUGGAUGGGCCUGCGUUGGAUUAGCUAGUUGGUAGGGUAAAAGCCUACCAAGGCGACGAUCCAUAGCUGGUCUGAGAGGAUGAUCAGCCACACUGGGACUGAGACACGGCCCAGACUCCUACGGGAGGCAGCAGUGGGGAAUAUUGGACAAUGGGCGAAAGCCUGAUCCAGCAAUGCCGCGUGAGUGAUGAAGGCCUUAGGGUUGUAAAGCUCUUUUACCCGGGAUGAUAAUGACAGUACCGGGAGAAUAAGCUCCGGCUAACUCCGUG
rnacentral:rRNA from 1 species